rnacentral:tRNA from 1 species
GGGUCAUUAGCUCAGGUGGUAGAGCAGCUGACUCUUAAUCAGCCAGUCCGGGGUUCGAAUCCCUGAUGGCCCACCA